UACAGAGGUCUCAAGCGUGGUUCGGAUUCAUUGGGCGUAAAGGGUGCGUAGGUGGCGCCAUAAGUCGGGUGUGAAAUCUCGGGGCUUAACUCCGAAACUGCAUUCGAUACUGUGGUGCUUGAGGACUGGAGAGGAGACUGGAAUUCAUGGUGUAGCAGUGAAAUGCGUAGAUAUCAUGAGGAAUACCAGAGGCGAAGGCGGCUCCCUGGACAAUAGCUGACACUCAGGCACGAAAGCGUGGGGAGCAAAAGGG
rnacentral:rRNA from 1 species